rnacentral:lncRNA from 1 species
AAACGCCAACUCAUCCAUGCCCUCUGUGCGGUCUCAGCCUGCUGAAAUCACCUGCACCCCAUGGGAACUGUAGCCGUAUCUUCAGUCCUGGGAGCCUCCGCAUGCCCUGUCACAGGAGUAAAUGAGGAGUAAGGCCCAGAAUACUCAGUACCUCUUAAUGACCCUCAGACGAUGUAGGAAGGAGAUUGGUUCACCUUUUAAGCCAGAAUUUCUCACGUUUAAUGAUCAGGAAGAGGAGGAGCAAAUGAGGAUGGAGACGGACUUUGCAGAAUGGAAGAGAGGCAAAGACAUGAUUAGAAACAAUCUACAUAAUGAGGAGUCACUUUUGGGAGUUAUUUUAAGGCAGAGUAUCACAUCGCAUCAAAACAGCUCCGUCUCCUGCCACUCCACGUGCAAUGCCAUGAACUUAAAUAAAUUGCUGGUAAGAGGACGCAAAUGCUGUGACCAGGCAACUGCUGCAAACCAAUGGGCUUUGGGGAACUGUGCUUCCCUUCAGAAAGGAAAGAGUAUUUGA